GACGUAGGAGGCGAGCGUUGUCCGGAUUCAUUGGGCGUAAAGAGCACGCAGGCGGUUUGGCAAGUCGGACGUGAAAAUCCGGGGCUCAACCCCGGACCUGCAUCCGAAACUGCCCGACUAGAGGUAGGUAGGGGAGAUCGGAAUUCCUGGUGUAGCGGUGAAAUGCGCAGAUAUCUGGAGGAACACCGGUGGCGAAGGCGGCAUCCUGGACCGGCAUUGACGCUGAGGCGCGAAAGCCAGGGGAGCAAACGGG
rnacentral:rRNA from 1 species